UAACUUCGAUGUUCGUUUUCA
rnacentral:piRNA from 1 species